GCCUUGGCACUGAGAGGCGAUGAAGGACGUGGCACGCUGCGAUAAGCCUCGGGGAGCUGCGAGCAGGCUUUGAUCCGAGGAUGUCCGAAUGGGGCAACCCAACCCUUCGGGGUUAUCGUGCGCUGAAUACAUAGGCGUACGAGGCGAACCCGGUGAACUGAAACAUCUCAGUAACCGGAGGAAAAGACAUCAACAGAGAUUCCGCCAGUAGUGGCGAGCGAAAGCGGAACAGGCCAGUGGCCUGGCGUAACGAACGGGAACGGCCUGGAAAGGCCGGCCAUAGCGGGUGACAGCCCCGUACCGGUAGGUUGCGUCAGGUCCUUGAGUAGGGCGGGACACGAGAAAUCCUGUCUGAACAUGGGAGGACCACCUUCCAAGCCUAAAUACUCCUCAGUGACCGAUAGUGAACCAGUACCGU
rnacentral:rRNA from 1 species